rnacentral:rRNA from 1 species
CACGUAGGGGCCAAGCGUUGUCCGGAUUUAUUGGGCGUAAAGAGCUCGUAGGCGGUUCGACAAGUCGGGUGUGAAAACUCCGGGCUCAACCCGGAGACGCCACCCGAUACUGUCGUGACUGGAGUCCGGUAGGGGAGUGGGGAAUUCCUGGUGUAGCGGUGAAAUGCGCAGAUAUCGUGAGGAAGACCAGUGGCGAAGGCGGAUCUCUGGACAGUUCCUGACGCUGAGGCGCGAAGGCCAGGGGAGCAAACGGG